rnacentral:tRNA from 1 species
CGGAGUGUAGCGCAGUCUGGUAGCGCACCACGUUCGACGUGGGGGUCGCAAGUUCACCCGCCACUCCGACCA